GAUGAACGCUGGCGGCGUGCUUAACACAUGCAAGUCGAACGAUGAAGCCCAGCUUGCUGGGUGGAUUAGUGGCGAACGGGUGAGUAACACGUGAGUAACCUGCCCUUGACUCUGGGAUAAGCCUGGGAAACUGGGUCUAAUACUGGAUAUGACUUCUCAUCGCAUGGUGGGGGGUGGAAAGAUUUAUUGGUCUUGGCUGGCCUCGCGGCCUAUCAGCUUGUUGGUGAGGUAAUGGCUCACGAAGGCGACGACGGGUAGCCGGCCUGAGAGGGUGACCGGCCACAAUGGGACUGAGACACGGCCCAGACUCCUACGGGGGGCAGCAGUGGGGAAUAUUGCACAAUGAGCGCAAGCCUGAUGCAACGGCGCCGCGUGAGGGAUGACGGCCUUCGGAUUGUAAACCUCUUUCAGUAGGGAAGAAGCGAGAGUGACGGUACCUGCAGAAGAAGCGCCGGCUAACUACGUG
rnacentral:rRNA from 1 species